UAUGGAGAUGUACAUUGGAGAUGUUUUUAUAUAUGCAUAUAUUGGAGGAAAUCCAUCUCCGUAAUAAAAAUUUUCUAUUUUAAGGAAAAUAUAAAGAUGAAAAUGGAUGGGGGUGGAGAUGGUCUUGGUGGAAUAAAUAAAUGCCCAAACAAAAUUAAAUGAAAUAGGUACUCUGUGUAGUCUUCUAAUCAAUUAAAAUUGCAUGUUAUUACAUUAGGUUUGAAAUACGCUGUGUGUUAGAGCAGGUCCAUUGGAGUCUUUUAGAGGGGGGUUCUAAAAAAAAAAUCAAAAAAAUAAAUGAAAAAAUAGAAAAAACCAAAGGACCGGUGCUAAACAAAGGGGUUUUGGAACCACUAAAAAGCCCGUACGUGCCCUCUCGGUAUUGGUCGUCUCUCUCUUUCUCGAUGGUUUUUUUUUUUUUUGUCUCCGAGAAAUCUCGUCGUUGCUCUCCUUCUCCAAAUCCUUCCAUGAAAUCACCUUGAAGGUUCGAAUUCUUUGAGUUUUUGUAUUGGUUUAAUCUUGUGAAUCUCGUUGGAAUUGAAAUUUGGUUUUGGUGAUGCGAUUUGAGAAUGAGAUUUGAGAUUAGCUUUGAUGAUGGGAACUAAAUCACAUGGCGAUCUUCAGGAAGUCCGUUGAAGGCUGCUGUUUUGAUUAACUACGACCCGACAUCACCUUCUCGUCUCUUAUCAACAAUGAGGGAGACAAUGGAGGAAACAAUGGCGGCUAGGUUCUGGUGCCUUUGCUUCAUGAGGAUGCCACACCUCCUUCAAUGCCUCCUUCCACCAAAUCAUUGCUAUGCGUGGUCUCGGUAUGUGGAUGAAUCAGAUAGAGAUCUGAUGAACGACUCUUUUUUCCAUCACUUAAGCAGAAAGAGGAGCAGCACUCAAGAGAGACUUGGCUGGUGAAACAAAAGCAACACGCCUCCGUUCUCCACUUUAGAGUACUUCUUGUACACAGCACGUAGCCUGCUCUCUCCACACCUAGAGUGAUGUAAAGCUAGGAGCUUUGAGCAUUUCCUAUUAACACACAAUGAAGAACAAAACUUAUCAGUUUUUGCAAUUAAGAAACAAGAACAGAAAUAGAUAUUUGCAAGUCUUCUCUGUUCUUACAUAAUCUUAGAUUCUGCAUAUCCUGUGUGAAACUUUCAAGGUCUCCGUCCAAGCUGGUGACUUGUUCAGUGAGCAUCUCGCUGUGUAGACAGCUGAAGCAGCAAGCAUGGAGGGACAGAACUUCAAGGUAAUGUUCUUCUUUGCAUUAGUUGGCAAUAUGACUUAUGUAGGAAGGUAAAGAUCGAUUAUCUUUACUUGUUUUGUGUCUAAAGAUUCUCUAGUAGCUUUCUUGAAAUUUUUUAUGAAAUCCAAUAAUUUUAACUUCUAAAACUUUUUUAAAUU